AUCAGGAACAGCAGCAAGAGCUCUGGGAUUCAGCAAAGCCAUGUUAUCCAGGAACCUUGGAUCACUGAGCUGUCCCAGGCUCCCUCUGCCAGCCGCUUGCUUCAGGGCUUCAAAGGAAGGCUCGGCUGCAGUACCCAGCAUGCUUUUCUGCGGCUGCCACAGCCCUCUUUUGAAGCACCAUGGUAGCCAACAGAGAGGAUUCUGUGUUACGUACAGUAUGACCCUGGAGGAGCCAGCCAGCUGCUGUGACUCAGCUAAAACAGGGAACUCGCUAGUGAGGGAUUAUGGUGGCUCAGUUCCCAUGGUUCUGUUUCUUUCACAAGCCCUUCUAAACCCAAGUGUCAACUGUGAACAAGACAGUACAGUAUAGAAGCAAAAUGAAAAUCUGUCACUUAUUUAAGGGAAGACGGCAACCUCAGUUAAAGUCCACCAUCACCUUCCUCCUACAGAAGAUCAAAGCACACAAGAGGCAAGUGUUUCUAUGCCAGGCUGUCAGUUGGGCUUUGGUUUCCAUGAGGGCUCUUUCCAUUUUUGAUAAGGAUAUUUAAUAAUAGGAUAAGCUUGGCUAGAUUUAGCAGUCAACAAUCACAGCAUCUGCUGACAGGUGCAAAGUCCACCUGAAUGGAGUCUCCAUAGAGCAGGAGCAGAAUCCUCUACCAGCUCUCAAGUGGUAGAGCAUGGCUUCAAAGAUCUUGUAACUGAAACUUAAGCUGCUAACACUGAACUAUCAAAAAUCUCCUUACCAGGUUAGGAAGUGUCAUGCUUUUACCAGCCUUCAAAUUCCAAGGAAAACACAGUCCUCUACAACUCCCUGAGAGGGUGUCAAUGCAAUUUCAUAGGUUUUGUUUCACAGUUUCAAAUAGCUUGAUCUGGAAACUCCUCUAGGUGCUGAACAUGAUUAUGCUGCUUCACACAACCCAACAGUUCUUACCUGCUCUCCUUUAUACUCCCAUCUCCUGCCUCCCCUUUCCCUUCGCCCCUGAAGUUCGUGAUGAAGAACAGAUCCCGGGCAAUAGCUUCAUUUGGACAUGUGUACUGCUGCUCCUUGCAACUCGCAAUAAACAAGAAAGAGGAAGAGAGAGGAAAACUUGUUAACACCAUGCUGUAUCUAAACAAGCAAUCCCAGAUGGCAUCCUUUAUGCCUUCUGCCUCUGAUAAGAAAAGAUUGAACAGGAAAAAUAAGCAACAGCUGACAAGCCAUACCCAGAACUGAGCCCAACAGGGAGAACAGAUCCCAGCUCUGUGCACUGUCCUCAGUCAUGGCUCGCCACCCAACCCAGAGACCUGCCUGGCUUCAAAGGCUUUCAGCAGUGCCUGCUUUUAUGGGGCCAGUGAGUCAUGAAAGCUUACAGGGCAAGUAUCUUUCUUUUUAAUUUGAUCUUUAGUUUGCUGAUGAAGACCAUGGCAUAAAUGCAGUAAUGUAUCUUAUUUAAAGACAUUGUGUUGUUAAAAAAGAGAGACAAUAAAUAAAAUUCAAUAGCUCUUUAGUACCAGUCAGUGUUUUUCCCAGAAACCAAUGCUAAUUCCUCCCUUAAAAUGUUUUCUUCUAAUGCACAAGUGCAUGUGUGUGCAUGUGCGUGGUGUGCGUGCAUGUGUGUGUGUGUGUGUGUGUGUGUGUGUGUGUGUGUGUGUGUGUAUGUGUGUGUGUAUGUUUCGAUUUUUAGAUAUUAUAAUAACAACUUUGUCUGAAAUCCUGAGAGCUAUCCCAGGCAUCCAAAUAGCUAGGACUGAAUCCUUGCUUGAUUGUUUUGUAGCUAUGCAUCCUCAGACAACAUUCUCUGUGCCUCAAUAUCCCCGUUAACAAAUGAAGGUUAAUGGAAUUUGCUUAUUUGUUUGGUGAACAGUAAGUGAAAAAGACCACAUGCAGGUCUAAAGCACAGAAAAGAUGUCUAACACAUACUAAACAUUCCAUGAAAUCCAUGCUUCCUGUCAUUUCGUCAUCAGCUGGGGUAUAGAAGCAUGCAUCUUGCUGUUCUGGGCUCCGACAUAAUCUGGAGCUCCAAACAUCAACAUAAUCAACAUUUUCCUCUGCAAAAUCUAGUUGCUUUAAAAUGUCAUCUUGGAAUUAAGUGCAGCCGAUGACACUUCACUGUUUCCACGUGGGUGUUGCUUAUGUGAACUGUAAGGACACCCGAGUUUCCACAGACCACCUGCAAAAGCCAAGUCAGCAAUCAUGUGUUGAUUAGUAAGCGCAGGAGUUUGCGAUGAAUCAACAGAAACAUAGUAAAAUGAAAUAAAAGUAUCCCAGUGAGACCACUAGGCAACCCAUUCACUCCAGCCUCGCCAUACAUCUUGGAGAGUUGUCAUUCUCACAAGUGAAUAAAUUUGAAGUGCUAGAAGAGUGGGUUGAAACAAUGAAGGAAGUUUUAGUGAAAACCCUGGUACUCAAAGCCACCAGCAAUAGUGUAACUUUUCAGACAGAAGAGAAACCACCAGGGUCCUGCUCUCCAUGCUUCCUUCUCAAGCAGAAGAUGGCCGAGGCAUUGAGAUUAGAUGAAGAAUUUUCCUGUAGUCAAAUUCCCGAAAACAAAGGUUAGGAAGUCACAGAUGACACAAGUGCUUGUUCUGAUAAUGUAAAAACGCAGCAACUCUUUAAAAAGAGCUUAGGAUAAUGGGAUGGAAAUGAGUCAGAAAAUAUGCAAAUUAAAUUCACUUGAAACAUAUAUGUCUUUAAAAAUUAAGUGAUAAAUUGCUUUGUCAAAUGCUUUUUUCCGUGUGAUUACCACCCGCUUACCCCCAUAUUUAAAUUCUAUGUUUAAGAUGCCUUUUUUUUAACCUCUAAUUCCGUUUUAGGAGGCUGGAAAGGUUGAAGAGGAGGCAUGCUUCCAUAUGUGAGGAGUUGCAGAGUUUUUAGUUCUGUGUAGAGGGAAAAAAAAGGAAGGUAGUACAGAGCAAGCAGAGUUAGAGCAAUCGUAAAGCAUUCUAGUAAGUUGGCCUGAGAAAAAGGAAGUACAUGUCCUAAUGACUCUAGUGUAAGACAUUCCCUGGGAUGAGUAAGAACUCUUUUGCUACACAACUCUUGUUUGCUGGCAUAAGACUGAGCACACUGCCCAAGCAGGAAGCACUUACUGAAAAGUAAGUGUGUCUGUUCCAUAGAUCUUCAUGCACAACUUCACCAUAAGUUGUCCUUAGAGUUAAGACCUAUUUCUUACAGGUUCUUAGGAGGCUAAAGUCCAUUUUGUUUGAGAGAUGGCUUACUUAAAACUUUUAAGAUUGUGCCAUGGUUUGUUGAUACCCAUGGGAGGUCUGCCCCUUUCUGAACAGAAACAGAGGCGGGGUGGAUUGGAGAAGGGCAGAGGGAAGCUGACUGGAGGGAAUGGGAGGAGAGGAGGGAGGGGAAACUUUGGUCAGGAUGUAAAAUAAAUAAAUUUAAUUAAUUAAAAAAUAAACUUUUUAAAUUUAUACCGACAGCAUCUAAUCAUUUCUGGGAAGAGCUACAACCUGGCCCAAGGUAGCAGUGGAUUAGAGGAGCUAGAAAACUUCAAAGGAUGUGUAAAACUAAAGCUGAACAUUGGGUACAAACCAGUUAAAGAAAGUUAAGCUACUGCAAACUUCAGAAAAAACAAAGUCCCAAUCUCAAAGAAGGCAGAAGACAGGCUGAAAGUCCAAAGUAUGGGAGGCCACAAACAGAAGGGGGAAAGAAGCAUGGCCCACUCAAGAAAGUGUGUGCAGAGCCACAGCUAUGGUAACGUGGCAACAUCACUUCUAGCCAGGACCUGACUCACACAGGAAGCUGUUCAUGAUAGUCCUGCUUCAGCAUGCUUAAAUAACAACUAAAAAAAGAAGAAGAAGAAGAAUACGGAGCCCAGGGCCUCAAAAUCUGCUGAAAUCUGACAAGUUACAAGUCCCUUCCCUUCUUUGCUUCUGACCUAGCACACUUAGUUAUGAUGGAACCAGUCAGCAGAUCCUAACAUGUUCCUUGGAAACUGACGAACAUUUUCCCAUCUACAGUAAAUCCUUAGAAUAUUGAUAGUGACUUAGCACUUGCCUGAAAUGUAAAUGACUGACACGGAUUUCUCAGGAUGUGUCCUUCUUUCUUCUUACUCUGCACAUUGCCUUUUGGAGUAUGUGAAAUGCAUUUUCCCCUGCAUAAUUUCUCCAUGUUUGCUUUAGCAGCAAUCACACAGCUUUGAAUUUUGUCCCUGAACUUUCAGAGGUUUUAGCAUGCCAGUGUUUCACAGUGUCGGUCACAAGCCCAAUUUACACACAUAUUUGCUCACUCCGUUGAACUAGUGGACUCCAUUAUUGGGGAAGAAGCAGAAGUGUACAGUGUAAAAUGACAAAAGACCCUCACUGGAAUCAGAUCAGUUGUUUGUACAAUUUAUCACAUCAUCCAGUUUAACUAAAUACUUGAACUCAUACGCGAGAAUCACGAUUCAUUGCAACUUUAUUCCCUCCUGUUAUUAGCAAGUUCUUCUGAUCACAGUUUGACUUUCUAGAGUUUAUUAUUUAACAAUUUUACUUUAUUUAGGUCUAAAACAUAUUUAAUUGAUAUUUUUUAUUUAUGUAUGCUCACAUGACUGUAUGCCACAUGUAUGUAGCUGCUGCACAGGCCAACAGAGGCUUCAAAUCCUCUGGACCAGGGCUUGCAGGCAUUUGUGAACCACUAGACACUGGUUCUGGGAACUGAACUCUGAUCUAUGGAAGAGCAGGAAGUACUUUUAACUGCUGAGCCGUCUUUCCUGUCUCAACAUUUUUAUAUAUAAAUCUUUAAAGUAUCUGAAGUCAUUUGCCAAUUUGACAAGUAUUUUCAAUAAAUGCCAUAUAACCUCAUUUCUGUAAGCCCUGACUGUCAGGUUUCUCAAAAUUUUGGUUACUUUCUUUGAGCAAACUUUUAUUUCUCAACCUCCUCAUAAAAACAUGCUGGCCAGAAUGAACUAUAUCUCAGGCCCAGUCUGGGAAUUUGAUGCCCUUUGUGUGGGAACACUGUCAUUGAUGCAACCAGUGAUUACAUUACUUCUUUUGGCUAGGCAUUGUACUGUUGACUCAUAGAGUCAGAAACCAUGCUGAAUCUUAACUUUUCCCCCCACUUUUUCAACAGGAUGUGCUUCUGAGUGAUAACAUUUUUCUCUGGCUUAUCAGAUUAGAUAGAUGAACAAUUAAUGAAUACAUUAAAAAGCCGAAGUUCUUGACAGUAUACAUGCUUUCCUCUGCCUAGCUACAAGGUAACAAUUUACAUGGGAGCAAAAUAGAGGGAAUGUAUUUUUAUAAUUAAAGUUGGUUUUGUGAAGCCAUACAUUGAAAUUAAUAAUGGUUUUCAAGUUUAGUAGAAAUGUUUCCUGAUUUAUAUUGACUUCUUGCAUUCAUGGUGGCUCUGAUUUUCAAUUUGUAUCUGAGCUCACUUAGAUGAUGAGGAUUUUUGACAAACUACCAUACUCUGUAAGUUAAUAACCUGUAAGUUAAUGUCUUUAGGCCGUAGAUGUAAUUGCAAACUAAAUUUCUCAUUUGCUAAAUAGAGCUGAGUUUUCACACAUUGGGAAUCCAUAGGUUAGAAUUUGUUACUCGGAUCUCAGAUACACUUUGGUUGAAACUGAUGAAGGUCUGGUGGUUUAAAAGUGAUUUGCAAUGUUUUUGUAAGUUUUUGCUUUAAUCAUAUCCAAAAAUAAGUUUUUAGUUUUUGGUAUUUUAAGUGUGUGUGUGUGUGUGUGUGUGUGUAAAUGUGUGCACAUGUGCCUGCAUGAGUUUAUUUGUACUGCAUGCAUAAAGGUACUUGCAGAAGCCAGAAGCGGGGAUCAGACUGUAUGGAACUGGAGUUACCUAAUGUGGGUGCUGCGAAUUGAAUCUUGGUCCUCUACUAAAGCAGUACUAGAUCUUAACUGCUAAGCCAUCUCUACAGACCGUAAUAUUUGCGUUUUAAACUUGAAAGUGGAUGUGUAGAUAAACAAGAAAUCAAUCACUUAUUAUUGAUAGCAUAGGACUAUUCUGUUGUGUUGGACUUUUUCAUUGGUAUAACAGAAUACCUGACAUUUGCCAAAUGGAUUUCUUACCUUGACUCAGUUCACAGGUUUCAAGCCAUCAGGGCAGGAAGUGUGUGGCAAAGCAGAGCAGCUCAUAUCACAGCAGCCAUGAGCCAGAGAGAGAUGGGGUUGGGAGAGAGAGAGAGAGAGAGAGAGAGAGAGAGAGAGAGAGAGAGAGAGAGAGAGAGAGAGACCUGUGUUAGCUAGCUUUCUCUUCUUCCCCUUUUAUGCUGUCAAGAUCCACAGUCUAUGAGGUGAUACCACUGAUAUUUAAUGCAAUUGCUCUCCAUUAGUUGAUCCUUUUUGAUAUACCCUUACAGAUGCACAAGAGUAAAUGCUCCAGAUUACCUAUGCUCUUCAUAAUCUAACCAAGUUGUCAACCAAAAUGAACUAUCACGUACAUUUUAACUUUAAAAGAGACCGGGAUCAUUGAAAUGUGGUGCCCUUUAUUGCUUGUUGGCUUAAAAAAUUUAUUUUAUAAAAAGAUAACUAAAAUAGUAAAUCUGGUUCCUAACUAAGUAAUCUCUUAAAGGAAGUCUAAAAAGACUCAAAUGGUAAAGGAAGGGUGAUAUUUCUCAUUUCUACAUUUCAAAACGUGCAUCUUUGGGCCUAUAGUAAGAAAAGGGAAGAUUGGUUAGAUAGGUCUACAGGAAAGCGAUCAUGGAAGACAUUCUCAUAGUUGGACAUGAUAACCCUAUAUUUUGUUAAAACUUUCACAAAUAGCCGGGCGGUGGUGGCGCACGCCUUUAAUCCCAGCACUCGGGAGGCAGAGCCAGGCGGAUU